rnacentral:rRNA from 1 species
CUCCCUGAUGUUAGCGGCGGACGGGUGAGUAACACGUGGGUAACCUGCCUGUAAGACUGGGAUAACUCCGGGAAACCGGGGCUAAUACCGGAUGGUUGUUUGAACCGCAUGGUUCAAACAUAAAAGGUGGCUUCGGCUACCACUUACAGAUGGACCCGCGGCGCAUUAGCUAGUUGGUGAGGUAACGGCUCACCAAGGCAACGAUGCGUAGCCGACCUGAGAGGGUGAUCGGCCACACUGGGACUGAGACACGGCCCAGACUCCUACGGGAGGCAGCAGUAGGGAAUCUUCCGCAAUGGACGAAAGUCUGACGGAGCAACGCCGCGUGAGUGAUGAAGGUUUUCGGAUCGUAAAGCUCUGUUGUUAGGGAAGAACAAGUACCGUUCGAAUAGGGCGGUACCUUGACGGUACCUAACCAGAAAGCCACGGCUAACUACGUGCCAGCAGCCGCGGUAAUACGUAGGUGGCAAGCGUUGUCCGGAAUUAUUGGGCGUAAAGGGCUCGCAGGCGGUUUCUUAAGUCUGAUGUGAAAGCCCCCGGCUCAACCGGGGAGGGUCAUUGGAAACUGGGGAACUUGAGUGCAGAAGAGGAGAGUGGAAUUCCACGUGUAGCGGUGAAAU